UGUAUAUGCAACACAAAAUAUUUAUAUUCCUUGUGUAAACAUAAUUUAAUUGAUUAUGAUGAAAAUGUUUUGUUUGAAUGUAAAAUGAACACAUUAUUCUCACAUUGAUUAAAAUUGAUUGAAUUGAAUACUUAAAGCAAUAAAAUUGAGUUUGCACACAAAACGGCACCUCCUGAGCAGAAGGUGGCAGUAACGCUCAAUAAAAAGGACGUCAAUCGCCAUAAAAGAAGAAUAAAGAUCAUUUGUUUUGGGCGCCAAAAUGAAGACUCAGCAGCAGUCAGUCAGAAGAACUCUCUCAGACGGACACCACGUUAUUAAAGUCCAUCAUCCUUGCAUGCGCUACACACUCAAAAGCAUUGAUAAAUGCUGAAUUUAAAAGAAUCACUACUGUCUUAUGUUCCUGCGUGUCACCUGGACCUCCAAUCCAAAAACCUGACGAAACUCUUCUAUCAGAAAGGAGGACAGCUAGCAAACAGACUUCAAACAAUGAAUGAUCAAAUGACAGAAGGCAUGGAUGAAGUCAGCAACAGUGAGGUCAUUUGAAGACACCACUGUUGGGAUUUGUGCUCUCAAACAACAUGCUUCUUGUGAUGAAGAAGAGGAUCUUUGUAUAGUCCUGGAAGGCAUGAAGGUGUUGCAACAUCGUGCCAUGUUGUUUGAGCUGAUGUAUGCCUUAAACCUGAGCUAUCCUGAUCUCUGCUUUAUUUUUGAAGAAAUCCAAAAGAUUUUAAUGGAACUGCAUUGAGCGUAACUUUAACGAACCGUUUCUUUCAGUGAAAGGAUCAGAAAGACUGUG